UGAACAGCAGAUGAUAACUUAAGUUCAUCUAAUGCGUUUGUCCAACCCACUGAUCAUGUGACCACACCUUUACUAUGAGCUGUAUUCACCACUAUAGCUCUGAGACAACAACAUGCUGUUCCUUGGUCUGUCUCUGUCUCUGUCUCUACUGUUCCAACUAGGUCUUUCCAUCACAGUUCUCCAGCCAGUGAGACACAUAUUUACUGACCCUGGCUCUUCCAUAAAGAUUGACUGCAGUCUGGAGGGAUAUUCAAUGAGUAGUGCUGCAAUGUACUGGUUCAGACAGAGGGCCCAUGCAGAGAUAGAGCAUGUUUGUAAAGAAUACGAUAAAAAAACAGAUCAUUUUGAGUGUUUACUCGAUGGAUCCAAGAAUAACUUUUCUGUAGUGAUCAGUGAUUUGGCCACAGACGACACAGGGAUGUACUACUGCGCUGCCUCUCACAGCAACACAUUCAACCACAUGACUGCACCAAAACACUGAGGCUGCUUCUGAGGAGAGGACAGAGUCUGACCAACUUCAACUGUUUGUUAGUCAAAAUAAAUUUAGAGUAAAAAUUCAGUUGUUUUGUUUUAUCUUGUUGUUGUUUUUUUGCAACUUAUAG